rnacentral:rRNA from 1 species
UGGGGAAUAUUGGACAAUGGGCGAAAGCCUGAUCCAGCCAUGCCGCGUGUGUGAAGAAGGUCUUCGGAUUGUAAAGCACUUUAAGUUGGGAGGAAGGGCAGUAAGCGAAUACCUUGCUGUUUUGACGUUACCGACAGAAUAAGCACCGGCUAACUCUGUGCCAGCAGCCGCGGUAAUACAGAGGGUGCAAGCGUUAAUCGGAAUUACUGGGCGUAAAGCGCGCGUAGGUGGUUCGUUAAGUUGAAUGUGAAAGCCCCGGGCUCAACCUGGGAACUGCAUCCAAAACUGGCGGGCUAGAGUAGGGCAGAGGGAGGUGGAAUGUCCUGUGUAGCGGUGAAAUGCGUAGAUAUAGGAAGGAACACCAGUGGCGAAGGCGACCACCUGGGCUCAUACUGACACUGAGGUGCGAAAGCGUGGGGAGCAAACAGG